rnacentral:lncRNA from 1 species
GAGUUCAUUCAACCAGAUCUGUGGUAACAAUCGUUACUAGGCUGCAGUUCUCUUUUUCAGAUUUACAGAACAUCCAGGUGGAAUUCAUUACUGUGAAUCACCCAGCAUGGUCCCCUGGCAGCAGAUUAAGAAAACAGUCUAAAUUAGAGAUGGCUGCACUGCUAAACUUAUUCCUCGUUCAAAAUAUUGGAAAGUUAGGAACUGCUACUGAAGGACGGCCUUGUACCACAGAGACCAGGACAUACUGCCUUAGGAAGGAAUGGAAUCAGCACUGUAGAGGCAGUCUGGCUUCAGUGUCCACUUGCUUUUGAUGUUGGAAGAGUGGAGAUAAUGUGUUCGAGAAGGUCAACAGUUGGAUAUAGAAUAAAGAAGUAUUUGGGGGGAGUCACUCUUACCUCCUCUACUCUAAGGAAGACCGUGUUUUUAUUUUUUUAUCUCUUUGCUUGGAAACUGCAUGAAAUUUUGUUCCCCUUAAUUUAGUCUAUUUUCUUCUAAGAUAAAGGAUAUU